AGAGUUUGAUCCUGGCUCAGGACGAACGCUGGCGGCGUGCUAACACAUGCAAGUCGAACGGGGUCCAGGGGAGCUUGCUCCCUGAAGACCUAGUGGCGAACGGGUGAGUAACACGUGAGAAACCUGCCUCGGAGUGGGGAAUAACUCGGGGAAACUCGAGCUAAUACCGCAUACCCUCGGAUGGUCGCAUGGCCGACCGAGGAAAGAAUUUCGCUCUGAGAGGGUCUCGCGGCCUAUCAGCUAGUUGGUGGGGUAACGGCCUACCAAGGCAGCGACGGGUAGCUGGUUUGAGAGAACGAUCAGCCACACUGGGACUGAGACACGGCCCAGACUCCUACGGGAGGCAGCAGUGAGGAAUCUUGCGCAAUGGGCGAAAGCCUGACGCAGCAACGCCGCGUGCGGGAUGACGGCCUUCGUGGUUGUAAACCGCUUUCAGCAGGGACGAAAAUGACGGUACCUGCAGAAGAAGCUCCGGCUAACUACGUGCCAGCAGCCGCGGUAAUACGUAGGGGGCAAGCGUUGUCCGGAUUCAUUGGGCGUAAAGAGCUCGUAGGCGGUUCAGUAAGUCAGGUGUGAAAGCUCCGAGCUCAACUCGGAGAGGCCACUUGAUACUGCUGUGACUAGAAUCCAGUAGGGGAGCGUGGAAUUCCUGGUGUAGCGGUGAAAUGCGCAGAUAUCAGGAGGAACACCAGCGGCGAUG
rnacentral:rRNA from 1 species